rnacentral:rRNA from 1 species
GAUGAACGCUGGCGGCGUGCUUAACACAUGCAAGUCGAACGAAGCACCUUGGACAGAUUCUUCGGAUGAAGUCCUUAGUGACUGAGUGGCGGACGGGUGAGUAACGCGUGGGUAACCUGCCUCAUACAGGGGGAUAACAGUUAGAAAUGGCUGCUAAUACCGCAUAAGCGCACAGUACCGCAUGGUACGGUGUGAAAAACUCCGGUGGUAUGAGAUGGACCCGCGUUGGAUUAGCUAGUUGGCAGGGUAACGGCCUACCAAGGCGACGAUCCAUAGCCGGCCUGAGAGGGUGGACGGCCACAUUGGGACUGAGACACGGCCCAGACUCCUACGGGAGGCAGCAGUGGGGAAUAUUGCACAAUGGGGGAAACCCUGAUGCAGCGACGCCGCGUGAGCGAAGAAGUAUUUCGGUAUGUAAAGCUCUAUCAGCAGGGAAGAAAAUGACGGUACCUGACUAAGAAGCCCCGGCUAACUACGUGCCAGCAGCCGCGGUAAUACGUAGGGGGCAAGCGUUAUCCGGAUUUACUGGGUGUAAAGGGAGCGUAGACGGAAUGGCAAGUCUGAUGUGAAAGGCCGGGGCUCAACCCCGGGACUGCAUUGGAAACUGUCAAUCUAGAGUACCGGAGGGGUAAGUGGAAUUCCUAGUGUAGCGGUGAAAUGCGUAGAUAUUAGGAGGAACACCAGUGGCGAAGGCGGCUUUCUGGACGGUAACUGACGCUGAGGCGCGAAAGCAUGGGGAGCAAACAGGAUUAGAUACCCUGGUAGUCCAUGCCGUAAAACGAUGGAUACUAGGUGUAGGAGGUAUCGACCCCUUUUUGUCCCGGAGUAAACACAAUAAGUAUCCCACCUGGGGAGUACGACCGCAAGGUUGAAACUCAAAGGAAUUGACGGGGGCCCGCACAAGCAGUGGAGUAUGUGGUUUAAUUCGAAGCAACGCGAAGAACCUUACCAGGGCUUGACAUCCCACGCAUAGUCUAGAGAUAGAUGAAAUCCUACGGGACGUGGAGACAGGUGGUGCAUGGUUGUCGUCAGCUCGUGUCGUGAGAUGUUGGGUUAAGUCCCGCAACGAGCGCAACCCCUAUUGCCAGUUACUAACAGUAAGAUGAGGACUCUGGCGAGACUGCCGGUGACAAAUCGGAGGAAGGUGGGGAUGACGUCAAAUCAUCAUGCCCCUUAUGUCCUGGGCUACACACGUACUACAAUGGCCGACAACAAAGUGAAGCGAAGCCGCGAGGCAGAGCGAAUCACAAAACUCGGUCCCAGUUCAGAUUGCAGGCUGAAACUCGCCUGUAUGAAGUCGGAAUUGCUAGUAAUCGCGGAUCAGCAUGCCGCGGUGAAUACGUUCCCGGGCCUUGUACA